rnacentral:misc_RNA from 1 species
AAAGUCGUAACAAGGUCUCCGUAGGUGAACCUGCGGAGGGAUCAUUAACACGUAUCCAAAACGUACCCAAAACCCAAACCGGUCUCAAAAUUCCUCCCACGGGGCACCGUCAGCAAGCCAAAUAGGUGGUUUCUCCGCAAGGGGACUCGCUUGUGACGUACAGUGAAAAGCUAAGUGUCACGUCGGCAAGAGUAGCGUAAGUCACCUGGCUACCAGGUACAUCCCAGGAAGUUGUAGAGCUCUUCGGAUAUUAAGUUAACCGAAUCUCUAUAUAUGAUACAAGGAUAUCUGGUAGCCCUAUUGAACCCAAACCCCUUAUACAAUUUUACUGAAAUUACUUCAACUAUGGACUUUCGGGUCUGCAUUGAAUGUAUACGAAAUAACGAACAACUCUUAGCAACGGAUAUCUUGGUUCUC